UCAAAUUUUAAAGUUUUUCUUCUUUUGGGGGGGGGGGGGCGGCGCCAUUUUGCAUUAUUUAAUCAGCUCAGCCUCUAUGCAGCUGUUCCAUCCCAAGUUCAUGUUCACCGGCAUGCAAAAGAAGAUAAAUCUUUGAUAUUUGAGGCAAUAAUGAAGAUUAAAAGUCCCCAAACCUCUGCAGUUUACGUCAUUCAUCUGAAAACUUCUAGUGGGAAAGGCAUGUAUUAAGAAUCAAAAUUUCUUCCUCAGUCCAUGAUUGCCACUUAAUAGCUCUGUCUCCAGAGCAAGUCACUUAAUUUUUCUGAGCUUCUGUUUCUUCAUUUGCUUUAUGUAAAUCACAGGUUGUGCUCAGUCCAAAGCAUUCCAAAGAGGCUUCCUAUGCUAUGAAGUGUUUUACAAGUGUCGGGUAGGUCCUGUAAUAAUUCCCAUUUUGCAGAUGAGGAAGGGCUGAGAGAGGCUGCUGACAAGUUUGUUGAAGGUCACAUGGCUGGCGAAUUGAGAUCUAGUUUUAAGAUCCUGUGUCUAUAACGUGGGUAUUUUUCAGCAUCAGUACUAUUGACAUUUUAGGACUGAUAAUUCUUUCUUGGGCGGCGGAGGGGGGCAGUCCUGUGCAUCAUAACAUGUUUAGCAACACCCCUGGCUCUAUCCCCUAGAUGCCAACAGCAUUCCCCAAUUUAUGAUAACCAAAAAUGUCCACAGACACUGCCACAUGUCCCCUGGCAGGCAAAAUCACCCCAAGUUGAGAACCACUGGCCUGUGUGAUUCCAGAGCUAAAGUUAUUAACCACUUGUAUGAUGACAUUUAUCAGUAUUAUCACUAUUCUGAGUGGUUCCUGGUUGGAAUACUCCAAGACAUAGCAAUUUUCGGAAUUAAAAAGGAGAUAACUGGUUUUCAUCCAUGGUUUCCCUGUUUCUGAAUAUGAACAGUGGCAUUGUCUUCUUUGGAAGGUCCCCAUGAACUGUUCUUACAGAGUCAGGGUCACCUGACGGAGACACUAUCCACAGUGAGCCAGAAGUCAGACUGAACGACCUUCCCCUGUAAUUCUGUGACCAUCCCCUCAGGGGCCCCACUGUUGUCUCUUGAACUGCCCCUUCUCGUCUGGUAGAUGCAUGGGCUUCUGAUAUCAGCCGAGAGGCACGGAAGAGAAACACACGUAUCUUCAUAACCAUGAUCCCAUUUAAUCUUCACAGUAAGCCCUUGAAGUUUGUAUCUGUUGUCUGCGUUUACAUUUUGUUUAGGAAUCUUAACCUUUCUUCCUUGCCUGCUCCUUCAACUUUGGUGUUCUCAUUGCAGAACCUGAUAAAGAAAACUCAGCAGGAAGCUGAUAUGGAAACUCAGGUGGCCUUUUUGAAGAUGGAAUCGUUGGAGCCGAGGCACCCUCUCCCUGGCAGGCAGCUCUCCAGGCCCGAGGCCAGCGUUCUGCAUGGUGGGCAGUCAUCACAGACACAAGAACCUGAGCUCCAGAAUAAGAGCAUUGCAUGGAAGUUGUGAGUUGACUUGUUGGCAUAUUGUCUCUAAGAGAAGAGUUCACUUCAAAUCUUUGAAGAACCAAGGCCACGAAGAAAGUUGUAGUCGCAGAGAAGUUAUGUCUCUGUUUCCCACGGAGAGGAAUAUUCAAAUAUGUGGUGUGUCAGCAGCUCCUGGGAGGAUAUUCGCUCCUGGAGUCCCGUCUGUCCCUUGGGGGAUGGAGUGAGGGACUCCGUUGGUGGAACUGAAUGUUAACUGCUAUACAUCCAGGCAGAUAGACUUAUAAACUUCCCAUUCGCUUUGCUGAAAACAAAUUUUUGGAAAGAAAAAUAGAGAAUUUUGUAUACCUUAUUCAGAAGAGAUGCUCUGUGAAUAAAUGUGUGUUGAAUGAAUGAUUAACAAAUUAAAGGUUUUCCUGGGUAUGCAGA